UUUGUGGGGGAUAACGUAGGGAAACUUACGCUAAUACCGCAUACGACCUACGGGUGAAAGCGGAGGACCUUCGGGCUUCGCGCAGAUAGAUGAGCCGAUGUCGGAUUAGCUAGUUGGCGGGGUAAAGGCCCACCAAGGCGACGAUCCGUAGCUGGUCUGAGAGGAUGAUCAGCCACACUGGAACUGAGACACGGUCCAGACUCCUACGGGAGGCAGCAGUGGGGAAUAUUGGACAAUGGGCGCAAGCCUGAUCCAGCCAUGCCGCGUGGGUGAAGAAGGCCUUCGGGUUGUAAAGCCCUUUUGUUGGGAAAGAAAAGCAGUCGGUUAAUACCCGAUUGUUCUGACGGUACCCAAAGAAUAAGCACCGGCUAACUUCGUGCCAGCAGCCGCGGUAAUACGAAGGGUGCAAGCGUUACUCGGAAUUACUGGGCGUAAAGCGUGCGUAGGUGGUUUGUUAAGUCUGAUGUGAAAGCCCUGGGCUCAACCUGGGAAUUGCAUUG
rnacentral:rRNA from 1 species